AUGUGCCACCUAGUUGGUCAAUGUUGGGAUUCGCCGGAUUAUCACUUGCGCCUCCGUAAACUCGCAAGAGAAGUGGGCUGGCGAUUUUCUGGAAGACUGUCGAACACACACACUCCAUUCCUUGUCAGAGAUAAGUACACAAUACAUUUUACAUUUUGGUCCUUGCCAAACUUCUAUCUUUGCUUACAGGAUCACCAGAAUCUGCUCGAAUACGAUGGUUCUGCUCAAUUGGAGUUGUCGCUGGUCUACAAUUUAGCAUGCCAGUUUCAGCGAGUAAAUCAAGUACAUAUUUUCUUUGCGAUAAGUAAAUGCCUUGUGAUCCAUAUGCAACCUCAAUUCCCAGGAAAUAAUGAAGAAAACCCAGAUCCUUAA
rnacentral:rRNA from 1 species